UACGUAGGGGGCAAGCGUUGUCCGGAUUUAUUGGGCGUAAAGAGCGUGUAGGCGGCUUUACAGGUCCGUUGUGAAAACUCGAGGCUCAACCUCGAGACGCCGGUGGAAACCGUAAAGCUAGAGUCCGGAAGAGGAGAGUGGAAUUCCUGGUGUAGCGGUGAAAUGCGCAGAUAUCGGGAAGAACACCCGUGGCGAAGGCGGCUCUCUGGGACGGUACUGACGCUGAGACGCGAAAGCGUGGGGAGCGAACAGG
rnacentral:rRNA from 1 species